rnacentral:rRNA from 1 species
UACGUAGGGUGCAAGCGUUAUCCGGAAUUAUUGGGCGUAAAGAGCUCGUAGGCGGUUUGUCGCGUCUGCUGUGAAAACCGGAGGCUCAACCUCCGGCCUGCAGUGGGUACGGGCAAACUAGAGUGCGGUAGGGGAGAUUGGAAUUCCUGGUGUAGCGGUGGAAUGCGCAGAUAUCAGGAGGAACACCGGUGGCGAAGGCGGGUCUCUGGGCAGUAACUGACGCUGAGGAGCGAAAGCGUGGGGAGCGAACAGG